ensembl:lncRNA
GUCCCUGAGGUAUGUACUGUUUACCUGAGACCCGCCCCGGUCAGCCCUUCUGGGGAAAGAGUUCUCCACACUGAGUAAGACAGAAGGGCUAAGCUUCGGACUCCCCAGCUUGUCCAGUUAGAAACCCUCGGGUUCCCCCGUGUCCUGCACCAGCUCUGCCAGGCACCAGGCAUGUGGGAUCUUGCCUCCCUGACUGAGGAUUGAAUCUGCUCCCAAGGCAUUAGAACGGGAAGUCUUAACCACUGGACUGCUAGAGAAGUCCCAUCUGCUGACGUCUUGCAGCCCCCACACUCCCUCUCUGUGGGGGGCAGAACAACAGCUUUGAGAUGUCCACCUCCUAAUCCCCAGAAUCCAUGAAUAUGGUACCUGACAUGGCAAAAGGGUCAUUGCAGGUGUGAUGAAGGGUUCUGAGAUGGGGAGAUUAUCCAAGUGGACCCGAUGUCAUCAUAAGGGGCCUUACAAGGGAGAGGCAGGAAAAGAAGAUGCGGCAGCAAAACUGAGCAUCACAUAUAGUUUCAAAAGAGGUUGCAUCUCUACUGACAUGGGCUGAGGUGGUAAACUGGAGGAAGACUCAGACGAAUGAGGAUAGAGA